ensembl:misc_RNA 7SK 7SK RNA
AGAUAUGAGGGCAAUCUGUCUGUAAUAUCUGUCACCCCAGUGAUCAUCAGGGUUGAUUUUGCUGAUCUGGCUGCCUAGGCAGGUGUCCCCGUCCCCUUCUUCCCUCACCACUCCAUGUGCAUCCCUCCUGAAGCUGCAUGCCUGGUCAUGAGGAUGAGCAUCCCCAAUAAAGGAAGACCAUUCUUCCGUCAAAGGUAGAUGAGUAGCUGUGCUCCCCUGCUGGAACCUCCAAACAAUCUCUCCCACAUGUUUCCACAUGUUGCCAAGCAUCCCUUACAGG